GAUGAACGCUGGCGGCGUGCCUAAUACAUGCAAGUCGAGCGAACAGACGAGGAGCUUGCUCUUCUGACGUUAGCGGCGGACGGGUGAGUAACACGUGGAUAACCUACCUAUAAGACUGGGAUAACUUCGGGAAACCGGAGCUAAUACCGGAUAAUAUAUUGAACCGCAUGGUUCAAUAGUGAAAGACGGUUUUGCUGUCACUUAUAGAUGGAUCCGCGCCGCAUUAGCUAGUUGGUAAGGUAACGGCUUACCAAGGCAACGAUGCGUAGCCGACCUGAGAGGGUGAUCGGCCACACUGGAACUGAGACACGAUCCAGACUCCUACGGGAGGCAGCAGUAGGGAAUCUUCCGCAAUGGGCGAAAGCCUGACGGAGCAACGCCGCGUGAGUGAUGAAGGUCUUCGGAUCGUAAAACUCUGUUAUUAGGGAAGAACAAAUGUGUAAGUAACUAUGCACGUCUUGACGGUACCUAAUCAGAAAGCCACGGCUAACUACGUG
rnacentral:rRNA from 1 species